rfam:Synechococcus sp. KORDI-100, complete genome.
ACAACGGAGAGUUUGAUCCUGGCUCAGGAUGAACGCUGGCGGCGUGCCUAACACAUGCAAGUCGAACGAACCUUCGGGUUAGUGGCGGACGGGUGAGUAACGCGUGGGAAUCUGCCCUCAGGAGGGGGAUAACGGCUGGAAACGGCCGCUAAUACCCCAUAUGCCGAGAGGUGAAAUGAAUUUCGCCUGAGGAUGAGCCCGCGUCUGAUUAGCUUGUUGGUGAGGUAAUGGCUCACCAAGGCUUCGAUCAGUAGCUGGUCUGAGAGGAUGAUCAGCCACACUGGGACUGAGACACGGCCCAGACUCCUACGGGAGGCAGCAGUGGGGAAUUUUCCGCAAUGGGCGAAAGCCUGACGGAGCAACGCCGCGUGAGGGAUGAAGGCCUCUGGGCUGUAAACCUCUUUUCUCAAGGAAGAAGAUCUGACGGUACUUGAGGAAUAAGCCACGGCUAAUUCCGUGCCAGCAGCCGCGGUAAUACGGGAGUGGCAAGCGUUAUCCGGAAUUAUUGGGCGUAAAGCGUCCGCAGGCGGCCCUUCAAGUCUGCUGUUAAAGCGUGGAGCUUAACUCCAUCAUGGCAGUGGAAACUGUUGGGCUUGAGUGUGGUAGGGGCAGAGGGAAUUCCCGGUGUAGCGGUGAAAUGCGUAGAUAUCGGGAAGAACACCAGUGGCGAAGGCGCUCUGCUGGGCCAUCACUGACGCUCAUGGACGAAAGCCAGGGGAGCGAAAGGGAUUAGAUACCCCUGUAGUCCUGGCCGUAAACGAUGAACACUAGGUGUCGGGGGAAUCGACCCCCUCGGUGUCGUAGCCAACGCGUUAAGUGUUCCGCCUGGGGAGUACGCACGCAAGUGUGAAACUCAAAGGAAUUGACGGGGGCCCGCACAAGCGGUGGAGUAUGUGGUUUAAUUCGAUGCAACGCGAAGAACCUUACCAGGGUUUGACAUCCUGCGAACCUCUUGGAAACAGGAGGGUGCCUUCGGGAACGCAGUGACAGGUGGUGCAUGGCUGUCGUCAGCUCGUGUCGUGAGAUGUUGGGUUAAGUCCCGCAACGAGCGCAACCCACGUCUUUAGUUGCCAGCAUUUAGUUGGGCACUCUAGAGAGACCGCCGGUGAUAAACCGGAGGAAGGUGUGGAUGACGUCAAGUCAUCAUGCCCCUUACAUCCUGGGCUACACACGUACUACAAUGCUACGGACAGAGGGCUGCAAGUUCGCGAGGACAAGCAAAUCCCAUAAACCGUGGCUCAGUUCAGAUCGUAGGCUGCAACUCGCCUACGUGAAGGAGGAAUCGCUAGUAAUCGCAGGUCAGCAUACUGCGGUGAAUACGUUCCCGGGCCUUGUACACACCGCCCGUCACACCAUGGAAGUUGGCCACGCCCGAAGCCGUUACUCCAACCCUCGGGAGGAGGACGUCGAAGGUGGGGCUGAUGACUGGGGUGAAGUCGUAACAAGGUAGCCGUACCGGAAGGUGCGGCUGGAUCACCUCCUAA